GUGGGGAAUAUUGGACAAUGGGCGAAAGCCUGAUCCAGCCAUGCCGCGUGAGUGAUGAAGGCCUUAGGGUUGUAAAGCUCUUUCAGUAGGGAAGAUAAUGACGGUACCUACAGAAGAAGCCCCGGCUAACUUCGUGCCAGCAGCCGCGGUAAUACGAAGGGGGCUAGCGUUGUUCGGAUUUACUGGGCGUAAAGCGCACGUAGGCGGAUUGGUCAGUUAGAGGUGAAAUCCUGGAGCUCAACUCCAGAACUGCCUUUAAUACUGCCAGUCUAGAGUCCAGAAGAGGUGAGUGGAACUCCUAGUGUAGAGGUGGAAUUCGUAGAUAUUAGGAAGAACACCAGUGGCGAAGGCGGCUAACUGGUCUGGUACUGACGCUGAGGUGCGAAAGCGUGGGGAGCAAACAGGAUUAGAAACCCCUGUAGUCC
rnacentral:rRNA from 1 species